rnacentral:tRNA from 1 species
GCGGGUAUGGCGAAAUUGGCAGACGCGCUAGACUUAGGAUCUAGUGCCGCAAGGCUUGGGGGUUCAAGUCCCUCUACCCGCA